UACGUAGGGUGCGAGCGUUGUCCGGAUCUAUUGGGCGUAAAGAGCUUGUAGGCGGUUUGUCACGUCGAAAGUGCAAACUCAGGGCUUAACCCUGAGCCUGCUUUCGAUACGGGCUGACUUGAGGAAGGUAGGGGAGAAUGGAAUUCCCGGUGGAGCGGUGGAAUGCGCAGAUAUCGGGAGGAACACCAGUGGCGAAGGCGGUUCUCUGGACCUUUCCUGACGCUGAGAAGCGAAAGCGUGGGGAGCAAACAGGCUUAGAUACCCUGGUAGUCCCU
rnacentral:rRNA from 1 species